rnacentral:rRNA from 1 species
UACGUAGGGAGCAAGCGUUGUUCGGAUUUACUGGGCGUAAAGGGCGCGUAGGCGGCGCGGUAAGUCACUUGUGAAAUCUCUGAGCUUAACUCAGAACGGCCAAGUGAUACUGCAGUGCUAGAGUGCAGAAGGGGCAAUCGGAAUUCUUGGUGUAGCGGUGAAAUGCGUAGAUAUGCGGAGGAACACCGAUGGCGAAGGCAAUCCCCUGGGCCUGCACUGACGCUCAUGCACGAAAGCGUGGGGAGCAAACAGG